rnacentral:rRNA from 1 species
AUUGAACGCUGGCGGCAGGCUUAACACAUGCAAGUCGAGCGGAGAUGAGGUGCUUGCACCUUAUCUUAGCGGCGGACGGGUGAGUAAUGCUUAGGAAUCUGCCUAUUAGUGGGGGACAACAUUCCGAAAGGAAUGCUAAUACCGCAUACGCCCUACGGGGGAAAGCAGGGGAUCUUCGGACCUUGCGCUAAUAGAUGAGCCUAAGUCGGAUUAGCUAGUUGGUGGGGUAAAGGCCUACCAAGGCGACGAUCUGUAGCGGGUCUGAGAGGAUGAUCCGCAACACUGGGACUGAGACACGGCACAGACUCCUACGGGAGGCAGCAGUGGGGAAUAUUGGACAAUGGGCGGAAGCCUGAUCCAGCCAUGCCGCGUGUGUGAAGAAGGCCUUUUGGUUGUAAAGCACUUUAAGCGAGGAGGAGGCUACCUGGAUUAAUACUCUAGGAUAGUGGACGUUACUCGCAGAAUAAGCACCGGCUAACUCUGUGCCAGCCGCCGCCGUAAUAC